GCCUACGGGGCGCAGCAGUGGGGAAUAUUGCACAAUGGGGGAAACCCUGAUGCAGCGACGCCGCGUGGGUGAAGAAGUACUUCGGUACGUAAAGCCCUAUCAGCAGGGAAGAAAAUGACGGUACCUGAUUAAGAAGCCCCGGCUAACUACGUGCCAGCAGCCGCGGUAAUACGUAGGGGGCAAGCGUUAUCCGGAUUUAUUGGGUGUAAAGGGUGCGUAGACGGGAAAUUAAGUUAGUUGUGAAAUCCCUCGGCUUAACUGAGGAACUGCAACUAAAACUGAUUUUCUUGAGUACUGGAGAGGAA
rnacentral:rRNA from 1 species